rnacentral:siRNA from 1 species
CGCAACCCCACCUUCACUCGA